GCGCAAACAAGUUGAGGAGCGGCCUGUCCUCUGCAUCCAGGGAAGGGCCGCACUACCAGCUCCCACCUCUCUUCCGUGCCCUUUGCAAUAUCUCUGUAGGAUGAAGGUAAACCCAAUGGCUUAGGUCUCCAUAUCCUGUGGACUGAAGAAAUGAGAUGAGAUCAUAAACCACACAGAAAAUCCUGAAGGUAUUGGAGCAGAGUGGGAUAGAAUAGAACAAGAACUUCCAGACCCCAGAAGAAAUCUCUAGUAAUUAAAAUACUUUACAAAGUACAGAAAAUAGGGCAGGACUUCUCUUGAAAAGACCAGCUAGUCCCAGAGGGAAAAUACAACAUCCAUGAAAUGCUUUGUGUGAAGUCUGAUAGAAGUUUCCAG